rnacentral:lncRNA from 12 species
CCCCCAGAUGCUGCCGUGACUUGUUCUCUCACCUCCUGCAAGUCUAGGCCCAAAUAUCACCUUCCCAGGAAGGCCUUUCUGACCAUCUUAUCUAAACUUAGAAAAUAAGCCUCCCCAAGCUCCUUAUCCCUCCCGAUCCAACUCUGUUUUUUUCUACACCUUCCUUAUCACCUUCUUAUAUUUUAUAGAACACAAUUGUUUGUCUCCCUCACCAGAAUGUAAGCUCUACAAAGCGAAGAGGUUUUUCUCCUUUUGCUCACUGCUGAAUGCCUCCAUCAAAAAUAAAGCUUACUCUACAGAAAGAGUCGACAACUAUUUCUAGAACAAAUGAGCAAAACAGAAAGACAAUUAACACUCUCUUCAUACUCCGCGUCAUAACUCACCGGCUUUCUGAUCUUAGGCCGAUCACUGACAUCUUACCUAACUAACCUUCUGACCUUCAACAAUGGCCAAAAUUAUUAUGGCUUCCUCUUAUAGAAUAUAUUAUUUGGCAAAAUGCAAGUUCCUUGGGGACCAGGAAUUUUGAAACGUUCAUCAGGAUGUCCUCUGGGGCUCGUAGAAAGUUGUUUGCUCGGUGCUCCAGGGAAUGGGUAACCAGCAGAAGCAGCGAACAACCACAGCUGAAAAACAGGGCGUUUUCAGGAUACAGACUGGCUGGGAUCAGAAGCGGAACUGCUUAUCGAGAAGCCAUCUCUUCCCCAACUUGUGACUUUAAGGAUGAGUGGGCAUUUUUGCAAAGGUUCAUUAGUGGAUUAGGAGAGAUUUGAAACUGAGCCCAGUGGAGUCAGCAGAGACAAGUUCCAAACAGCCACUCAGCGCAUUUUGAAAAGUACCAAGCUAGCAACCUGGAAAAGAUCCACCAGUAAAAUUUGGUUGUACUUGUGUGCGUGGAGCCCCACUGGACUGACAAAACAUCCACUUCUAGAUGGACGGGAGCGGCAACAUGGCCCCAAACCAACAACGCAAAAGCUGUUGUGUUCCAUGUGAGCCCAUUGCCACAACAUUAACACAACCCGUCAGCGGGGAAAAUAAUAAGGGGAACAGUAACCAUCCAGCAUAUAUUAUUAGGAUAACAAGAAGCAAGAAGAAGGCCAUCUAGGGACACCUGGGUGGCUCAAUGGUUUGGCGUCGAGGUGGCUCAGGGCGUGACCCCGGGAUCCCUGCAUGGAGCCUGCGUCUCCCUCUGCCUGUGUCUCUGCCUCUGUCUCUGUGGCUCUCAUGAAUAAAUAAAUAAAAUCUUUAAAAUAAAUAAAUAAA